UCUCCUCAAAGACACCAAAAUUUAGAGGUUUAAUUUGCCAUCACCGGAGCACUGGCACUAUGCACGCGCCCCACCAUCUGAUUGCCCAUGACCUCAAACACCUCCUCAUCGAAUUUCAUGGUUUUUGGUCAUCGGAGAUGCCGGCAGUUGCCGGUCAAAGGUUUGGCGGGUACUAUUCACUGCAGUUUAAUAUUUUCAACUUUUCUCCCAAAAUAUUUGAAUUUUUGAAAACUAAAAAUAUCUCUUUGUUCAUCUUCUUAUGGCUAUCUUCAGUUACAUUUUCAUGAUUUUUGGAUGGAAGAUGAAUUUUUGAAAAUUAGUCAAACUUUUCUGUUUUCUUGGAAUUUCGGGCUUUGAUUAUAUUAGCCUAAAUUUAGUUUAUUGGAGAUUUAUUUAGCUUCUUAAGACUACUAAACAUUGGUAUUCAUGAUUAGUUUCAUUUGAGUUUGUUGGGCUAUAAAUGAAAUGGAAUUGAAAAGGUUAAUGGAGACUUUUAUAGGCUUUUAAUGUUAUUUCAAAUUUAGUUUAGUUAUUUUGACUAUACAUGAAGUAAAUGUACUUGUGGGUAGUAUAAUUAGCUAUUAAAUUUGUGUAUGUCAUUUUGGAUCAUGGAUGAUGAUUUUAUGUAGGAUAAUCUCUUAUUAUUUAGUAAAUUAGGCAAUAGAACAUCUUAGCACACAUAUUGUUAUCUUAGAUAAGUAUAAUAGUUGGUAACCGACUGUUGGAUGAUUUUAGAAUCUUUGUCAAGGAUUUGUCAAUAUUAGGAAAGAUAAGGAAAUGAUCUUUAUUAGCAAUUAGUGGUUAAGAGUAGUAUUAGACUCCUUUUUAUGAUAAUUAAGAGUAGCUUGGUAUUUUUAAGAUUGUGAUUGAGUAUUUUAUUAUUAUGUCUAGGCGAUAAAGGUAGCCAUUAUUCUGAAUACUUGAACUAGUGUGGGUAUCCGUUGGACCGAGAUAAGUGGUGCAUGUAUUCUUUAUUUUUGAAAGAUGAUUUUUGAAAGCUACUUGUUUAAUUGCUAAAGUGGCAUGAGCAUGUAUAAUUUGUGAUAUUUGUUAUUACUCUUGCCAUGGUCAUUUGUGAGAUGAAAUGCUAUGUUUGUUGAGCUCUUGUAUAAGCGACUUUUGACGGGACUAGUUCCUCACAUAUAGUUGGCAUAUGAAACGAGCUAACCGUGUUGUAGUUAGCAUUAUAAAACGGACUAACCGUGUGGUAGUUAGCACUAUGAACCGUGUUAACUGAUUAAGUUAGCAACUGGAUAUCCGAAAUCAAUUGUUGUCUUAUGGUUUGAGCUCGUUUAUGUUAUGAUGUAUGAUGUGCCAUUGAAAUGUUUAUAAUAACCAUGUUCUUAUAAAGUUAUAUGUAUAAGUUAAUGAUAUUUGAAAUGUACCAUAUAUGUAACAUGCUCAGGUCAAUAAUGAGAUACAUGCGCUACUUAUUGAGUGAGAUUUCGCUCACUCUUUGUUGUUAUUAUGCAGUUAAUGAUGAGUUCAUUGAGGUGGAUCUUGAUAACUCGUGGGGGGUGGUAAUGGAGAUGGAGAUGUCUUUUGGCUAGAGAAUGACUUUUGCACUUCUGUAUAUGAUAGAUACUUUAGGAUAGGAUUUGAAUAUUGUAUAUAUUGUAGAAGGUUUAAUUUUACUUUUAUUUUGGAAGAUGCACAAUUGCUAUUAUAGAUGAUUUUGUAUUUGUGGAUUUAAAAAACUUAUAUAAAGGUGAAUGUAGGUUUUUUGGAAAU
rnacentral:lncRNA from 1 species